rnacentral:rRNA from 1 species
GUCGAACGAGAUCUUCGGGUCUAGUGGCGCACGGGUGCGUAACGCGUGGGAAUCUGCCCUUUGGUUCGGAAUAACAGUUGGAAACGACUGCUAAUACCGGAUGAUGACGUAAGUCCAAAGAUUUAUCGCCAGAGGAUGAGCCCGCGUAGGAUUAGCUAGUUGGUGUGGUAAGAGCGCACCAAGGCGACGAUCCUUAGCUGGUCUGAGAGGAUGAUCAGCCACACUGGGACUGAGACACGGCCCAGACUCCUACGGGAGGCAGCAGUGGGGAAUAUUGGACAAUGGGCGAAAGCCUGAUCCAGCAAUGCCGCGUGAGUGAUGAAGGCCUUAGGGUUGUAAAGCUCUUUUACCCGGGAUGAUAAUGACAGUACCGGGAGAAUAAGCUCCGGCUAACUCCGUGCCAGCAGCCGCGGUAAUACGGAGGGAGCUAGCGUUGUUCGGAAUUACUGGGCGUAAAGCGCACGUAGGCGGCUUUGUAAGUUAGAGGUGAAAGCCUGGAGCUCAACUCCAGAAUUGCCUUUAAGACUGCAUCGCUUGAAUCCAGGAGAGGUGAGUGGAAUUCCGAGUGUA